UACGUAGGGUGCAAGCGUUGUCCGGAAUUAUUGGGCGUAAAGAGCGUGUAGGCGGCUUGAUUAGUCUGCUGUGAAAGUCCAGGGCUCAACCCUGGAAUGCCGGUGGAUACUGUCAAGCUAGAGUCCGGAAGGGGCGAGUGGAACUCCUGGUGUAGCGGUGAAAUGCGCAGAUAUCAGGAGGAACACCAAUGGCGAAGGCAGCUCGCUGGGACGUGACUGACGCUGAGACGCGAAAGCGUGGGGAGCAAACAGG
rnacentral:rRNA from 1 species